rnacentral:rRNA from 1 species
UGGGGAAUUUUGGACAAUGGGGGAAACCCUGAUCCAGCCAUCCCGCGUGUGCGAUGAAGGCCUUCGGGUUGUAAAGCACUUUUGGCAGGAAAGAAACGUCAUGGGUUAAUACCCCGUGAAACUGACGGUACCUGCAGAAUAAGCACCGGCUAACUACGUGCCAGCAGCCGCGGUAAUACGUAGGGUGCAAGCGUUAAUCGGAAUUACUGGGCGUAAAGCGUGCGCAGGCGGUUCGGAAAGAAAGAUGUGAAAUCCCAGAGCUCAACUUUGGAACUGCAUUUUUAACUACCGGGCUAGAGUGUGUCAGAGGGAGGUGGAAUUCCGCGUGUAGCAGUGAAAUGCGUAGAUAUGCGGAGGAACACCGAUGGCGAAGGCAUCCUCCUGGGAUAACACUGACGCUCAUGCACGAAAGCGUGGGGAGCAAACAGG